rnacentral:rRNA from 1 species
GACGAACGCUGGCGGCGUGCUUAACACAUGCAAGUCGAACGGAAAGGCCCUGCUUUUGUGGGGUGCUCGAGUGGCGAACGGGUGAGUAACACGUGAGUAACCUGCCCUUGACUUUGGGAUAACUUCAGGAAACUGGGGCUAAUACCGGAUAGGAGCUCCUGCUGCAUGGUGGGGGUUGGAAAGUUUCGGCGGUUGGGGAUGGACUCGCGGCUUAUGAGCUUGUUGGUGGGGUAGUGGCUUACCAAGGCUUUGACGGGUAGCCGGCCUGAGAGGGUGACCGGCCACAUUGGGACUGAGAGACGGCCCAGACUCCUACGGGAGGCAGCAGUGGGGAAUAUUGCACAAUGGGCGGAAGCCUGAUGCAGCAACGCCGCGUGCGGGAUGACGGCCUUCGGGGUGUAAACCGCUUUCGCCUGUGACGAAGCGUGAGUGACGGUAAUGGGUAAAGAAGCACCGGCUAACUACGUG